rnacentral:ribozyme from 14 species
GAAAAGCAUAAAGAGGUCUCGUUUCCUUCUUUUGACAUGCUGAUUUAUUUCGUUUCCUUCUUCUUUUCUUCCUCUCUCUACCGUUGCCGCUGAUGCCUAUUGAAAAUGGAGCGGUGCCACGUGAAAAGGGAACAAAAGGUAAACGACUUU